UGUGGAGCCAAACAGAGUACGGUGCAUAGACUAUAUACAUUUUUUUUUCGUUAGUUUUCAUGGUCAAAUGAGAGAUCAGGUGUCCGAUCUUAAAAUAAAUCAAUAUUGAUUUUUUAUAGAGCGUUAAAGUUUUGCGAGGCCAGGGGGCGGGACUACUUGAUUGACAGUCCGGUCUGGAAUGAUUGACAGGUCCUAUGGAGGAGGCAGCAGAGACUCUGUUCUCCUCGUUUGGAUUAAUUCUGAUAUAAUACCUGUUGGUUUAUUUAUCGGUGGAGCAGCAGAACAUUUUCCACAGACAGUUUUCCUGCCCGUUGGCUUGUUUUAGCCAGUUUUCUACCUUCGGCUGAUUCUACCAGCAGACACUGAAAGGACUCUGAUAGUUCGAGUGAAAGUAGCAGUUCCUCCUUAAGGUCAGAGAUUGCAGCAUCUGAGGGCCUCUUCAAAAGAAGACAUAGUUGAUGAAGGCAUUCUGGAGCAGGACCAGAAAGACCACGACCAAGCAGCCUUGAGAUCUUAGGCAGCGUUUCCCUGAGCUUCAGCUCCAGAGACGGCAGGCGGGACGAGUCAACGGAGGCCGGGUGGACGAAGGCAUGCAGCUGAGUCGAAAAAAAAAAUGUGAUUUUUCGACAUGUUGUAAAAACGUGCCAUAUGAUGAAAUAAUGUAAAGCAGGCCGUGAAAAACACUCCAGAAAGGUUUUCUUUGAAAAAAAAAAAAUCAUCAUGAAUUUUGGCGCAAAAAAACACCAUAGUAUAGCAUGUUGCUCUAAAAACGUCAUAGUAUAGCAUGUUGCUCUAAAAACGUCAUAGUAUAGCCUUUGGUCCAAAAAACGUCAUAGUAUAGCAUGUCGCUCUUAAAACGUCAUAGUAUAACAUGUUGCUCUUAAAACGUCAUAGUAUAGCAUGUUGAUCUCAAAAUGUCAUAGUAUAGCGUGUCGCUCUAAAAACAUCGUAGUAUAGCAUGUCGCCCAAAAAAGUCAUAGUAUAGCAUGUCGUCCAAAAAACGUCAUCAUAUAGCAUGUCACUCUUGAAACGUCAUAGUAUAGCAUGUCUCUCUAAAAACGUCAUAGUAUAGCAUGUCGCUCUAAAAACAUCAUAGCAUCGCAUGUCGCUCUAAAAACGUCAUAGUAUAGCAUGUUGCUCUAAAAACGUCAUAGUAUAGCAUGUUGAUCUAAAAACGUCAUAGUAUAGCAUGUGGCUUGAAAAACGUCAUAGUAUAGCAUGUCGCUCUAAAAACGUCACAGUAUAGCCUUUGGUCCAAAAAACGUCAUAGUAUAGCAUGUCGUCCAAAAAAGUCAUAGUAUAGCAUGUCGUCCAAAAAAGUCAUAGUAUAGCAUGUCACUCUAAAAACGUCAUAAUAUAGCAUGUUGCUCUAAAAAUGUCAUAGUAUAGCAUGUCGCUGUAUAAACGUCAUAGUAUAGCAUGUCGCCCAAAAAAUGUCAUAGUAGAGCAUGUCGUCCAAAAAACGUUAUCGUAUAGCAUGUCCCUCUUGAAACGUCAUCAUAUAGCAUGUCGCUCUAAAAAUGUCAUAGUAUAGCCUUUGCUCUAAAAACGUCAUAGUAUAGCCUUUGGUCCAAAAAACGUCAUAAUAUAGCAUGUUGUCCAAAAAACGUCAUCGUAUAGCAUGUCCCUCUUGAAACGUCAUCGUAUAGCAUGUCACUCUAAAAACGUCAUAGUAUAGCAUGUCGCUCUUAAAACGUCAUAGUAUAGCCUUUGCUCUAAAAACGUCAUAGUAUAGCCUUUGGUCCAAAAAACGUCAUAGUAUAGCAUGUCACUCUAAAAACGUCAUAGUAUUGCAUGUCACUCUAAGAACGUCAUAGUAUAGCAUGUCGCUCUAAAAACGUCAUAGUAUCGCAUGUCGCUCUAAAAACGUCAUAGUAGAGCAUGUUGCUCUAAAAACGUCAUAGUGUAGCAUGUUGCUCUAAAAACGUCAUAGUAUAGCAUGUUGCUCUCAAAAUGUCAUAGUAUAGCGUGUCGCUCUAAAAACAUCGUAGUAUAGCAUGUCGCCCAAAAAAUGUCAUAGUAUAGUAUGUCGUCCAAAAAACGUCAUAAUAUAGCAUGUCACUCUUGAAACGUCAUAGUAUAGCAUGUCUCUCUAAAAACGUUAUAGUAUAGCAUGUCGCUCUAAAAACGUCAUAGUAUAGCAUGUUGCUCUCAAAAUGUCAUAGUAUAGCGUGUCGCUCUAAAAACAUCGUAGUAUAGCAUGUCGCCCAAAAAAUGUCAUAGUAUAGUAUGUCGUCCAAAAAACGUCAUAAUAUAGCAUGUCACUCUUGAAACGUCAUAGUAUAGCAUGUCUCUCUAAAAACGUUAUAGUAUAGCAUGUCGCUCUAAAAACGUAAUAGUAUAGCAUGUCGCUCUAAAAACGUCAUAGUAUAGAAUGUCGCUCUAAAAACAUCAUAGUAUAGCAUGUUGCUCAAAAAAUGUCAUAGCAUCGCAUGUCGCUCUAAAAACGUCAUAGUAUAGCAUGUCGCUCUAAAAACGUCAUAGUAUAGCAUGUGGCUCAAAAAACGUCAUAGUAUAGCAUGUCGGUCUAAAAACGUCAUAGUAUAGCAUGUUGCUCUAAAAACGUCAUAGCAUCGCAUGUCGCUCUAAAAACGUCAUAGUAUCGCAUGUCGCUCUAAAAACGUCAUAGUGUAGCAUGUUGCUCUAAAAACGUCAUAGCAUCGCAUGUCGCUCUAAAAACGUCAUAGUAUAGCAUGUCACUCUAAAAACGUCAUAGUAUAGCAUGUCGCUCUAAAAACGUCAUAGUAUAGUAUGUUGCUCUAAAAAAGUCAUAGUAUAGCAUGUUGCUCUAAAAACGUCAUAUUAUAGCAUGUCGCUCUAAAAACGUCAUAGUAUAGCAUGUCGCUCUAAAAACGUCAUAGCAUCGCAUGUCGCUCUAAAAACGUCAGAGUAUAGCCUUUGGUCCAACAAACGUCAUCAUAUAGCAUGUCGCUCUAAAAACGUCAUCGUAUAGCAUGUCGUUCUAAAAUCGUCAUAGUAUAGCAUGUCGCUCUAAAAACGUCAUAGUAUAGCAUGUCACUCUAAAAACGUCAUAGCAUGUCGCUCUAAAAACGUCAUAGUAUAGCAUGUUGCUCUAAAAACGUCAGAGUAUAGCAUGUUGCUCUAAAAACGUCAUAGUAUAGCAUGUUGCUCUAAAAACGUCAUAGUAUAGCCUUUGCUCUAAAAAUGUCACAGUAUAGCAUGUCGCUCUAAAAAUGUCAUAGUAUAGCAUGUCAUCCAAAAAACACAGUAUAGCAUGUCGUCCAGAAAGCGUCAGAGUAUAGCCUUUGGUCUAAAAACGUCAGACUACAGCAUGUGGCUCUGAAAAUGUCAUAGUUUAGCCUUUAGUCCACAAAACGUUAUGUCCUGGCUGUCUGAAGUAGGUGAGAAGCAACAGAAAAACAGUCCAGACGCUGGUUUCCAGAGGGUUAGACGAGUAUUUAUUUGAAAGAGGAAGUUUACAACAACACAACAUGUGAAGGGUUUAAAAGGAAAGUGGUGUUAGUAAAAUAAAAAUAAACAGAACUAAAAGUGAACUUCACGUUGACAUUGUUGGGCAUUCCAACCAGGAACAAAGUAAAAGAUAAUCAAUACGAAAACCAGCUCUUCCUGUUCACCUCUUAAAACCCCAAAACACACCGCAGUAGCAUCCUAAACUAAAACUACCAAUGGGUUCCCUGUUUUCCUUUGUGAACAAUUCAGAAGUCCCUCUCUAUCUCCCCACACAUCCACCAACCACUGGAACACAUCUCCAAAGUUCUGCCAGGCCAGCUCAGCUUCCCCUCAGAAGGAGUGCCGCCACCAGCCAGAUGAAGGAGCCUUUUGAGAUGCAGCUGGCAUCGUGAUUUGACUGUACUUUGGUUUGUUCCAAUCCAGCUUCAGCUCCAGAGACGGCAGGCGGGACGAGUCAACGGAGGCCGGGUGGACGAAGGCAUGCAGCUGAGUCGGGAAAAAAAAUGCGAUUUUUCAACAUGUUGUAAAAACGUGCCAUAUGAUGAAAUAAUGUAAAGCAGGCCGUGAAAAACACUCCAGAAAGGUUUUCUUUGAAAAAAAAAACCAUGAAUUUUGGUGCAAAAAAAUGCCAUGUCGGGAAAAAUGCGAUUUUUCAACAUGUUGUAAAAAUGUGCCAUAUGAUGAAAUAAUGUAAAAGAGGCCGUGAAAAACACUAUGGUAAGGUUCUCUUUGAAAAGAAAAUCAUCAUGAAUUUUGGUGCAAAAAAACGCCUUAGUAUACUAUGUCGGAAAAAAAAUGCAAUUUUUCAACAUGUUGUAAAAAUGUGCCAUAUGAUGAAAUAAUGUAAAGGAGGCCGUGAAAAACACUAUGGUAAGGUUCUCUUUGAAAAAAAAUCAUCAUGAAUUUUGGCGCAAAAAAAACACCACAGUAUACUAUGUCAAAAGAAAAAAGCGAUCUUUCAACAUGUAAAAACGUGCCAUAUGAUGAAAUAAUGUAAAAGAGGCCGUGAAAAACACUAUGGUAAGGUUCUCUUUGAAAAGAAAAUCAUCAUGAAUUUAGGCGCAAAAAAAGGCCAUAGUAUACUAUGUCGGUAAAAUGUCAUUUUUCAGCAUGUUGUGAAAACAUGCCAUAUGAUGAAAUAAUGUGAAAGAGGCCAUGAAAAAUACUCCAGAAAGGUUUUCUUUGAAAAAAAAUCAUCAUGAAUUUUGGCGCAAAAAAACGCCAUAGUAUACUAUGUCGGGAAAAAAAAAGUGAUUUUUCAACAUGUGGUAAAAACGUGCCACAUGAUGAAAUAAUGUAAAGGAGGCCGUGAAAAACACUCCAGAAAUGUUUUCUUUGAAAAAAAAAUCAUGAAUUUUGGUGCAAAAAAAAUGCCAUAGUAUACUGUCGAAAAAUGUCAUUUUUCAACAUGUUGUGAAACCAUGCCAUAUGAUGAAAUAAUGUAAAAGAGGCCAUGAAAAAUACUCCAGAAAGGUUUUCUUUGAAAAAAAAAAAAUCAUCAUGAAUUUUGGUGCAAGAAAACGUCAUAGUAUACUCUGUCGAAAAAUGUCAUUUUUCAUCAUAGUAUACUAUGUCGAAAAAUGUCAUUUUUCAACAUGUUGUGAAAACAUGCCGUAUGAUGAAAAAAUGUAAAGCAGGCUGUGAACAACACUCCAGAAAGGUUUUCUUUGAAAAGAAAUCAUCAUGAAUUUUGGCGGGUAAAAACGCCUUACGAUACUAUGUCGAAAAAAAAUGCGAUUUUUCAAACAUGUUGUAAAAACAUGCCAUAUGAUGAAAUAAUGUAAAGGAGGGUGUGAAAAACACUCCAGAAAGGUUUUCUUUGAAGAAACAAUCAUCAUGAAUUUUGGUGCAAACAAAACCGCCUUACGAUACUAUGUCGAAAAAAAAAAUGCCAUUUUUCAACAUGUUGUAAAAACGUACCAUAUGAUGAAAUAAUGUGAAGUAGGCCGUGAAAAACACUCCAGAAAGGUUUUCUGUGAAAAAAAAUCAUCAUGAAUUUUGGCGCAAAAAAAAUGCCAUAGUAUACUAUGUCGAAAAAUGUCAUUUUUCAACAUGUUGUGAAAACAUGCCAUAUGAUGCAAUAAUGUAAAGCAGGCUGUGAAAAACACUCCAGAAAGGUUUUCUUUGAAAAGAAAAUCAUCAUGAAUUUUGGCGGAUAAAAACGCCAUAGUAUACUAUGUCAAAAAAAAAAAAACGCGAUUUUUCAACAUGUUGUAAAAAUGUGCCAUAUGAUGAAAUAAUGUAAAGGAGGUCGUGAAAAACACUAUGGUAAGGUUCUCUUUGAAAAAAAAUCAUCAUGAAUUUUGGCGCAAAAAAAUGCCAUAGUAUACUAUGUCGGAAAAAAAAUGCAAUUUUUCAACAUGUUGUAAAAACAUGCCAUAUGAUGAAAUAAUGUAAAAUAGGCCGUGAAAAACACUCCAGAAAGGUUUUCUUUGGAAAAAAAAAUCAUCAUGAAUUUUGGCGCAAAAAAAUGCCAUAGUAUAUACUAUGUCGAAAAAUGUCAUUUUUCAACACUAAAUCUUAUUGAAAAAUAUGUUUUACUUAAGUCCAACUGUUUCAGCCAUCUCUACCCCUCCUUAGGUACCACUCUAAAAUACAUUAUACAAAAAAAAUCCAGUAGAUGUCACUGUGUUUUGAAAUAGCAUGCAGAGCAAGUUAGUCUGCUCACAGGAAGUUAGCACGAGCAAAAUCACUCCUCACGAGGCCUCUGUUUGCUGUGAUUUUCAAAGGUAAAGUAAUACUUUUGACAUAUUAUGGUGCCUAACGAGUUGCUGAACACAAAUGUGUCAUUUGGAAUGUAAAAAAAAAUAUUUAAAAGGGUAAAAUAAUUUUUCUCAACCGUUUGGUACAGGUCAAUAUUUUAAAAAUCGCUGGGUCUCUUCAUAAAAAAAAAACAUUCAUUGUUGUUAUUCGUGCCCCAAAGAGAUAAGAAAUAUAAAGAAAUAAUUUUUUCAUUGCCUUUUUCUUGGUGAGGAUGUUUAAGGGUUAACUUAACAUCUGUAAACAAAACAAAAACGUAUCAACAAAGUUUUCUGUUAGAGUUUGUGUUCUUGUAAGUUUAACUCCAAGAUUUUAAAUCCUUUCAUUUACUGCAAAUGAAUAUCUACUCCAAUUGUCUCACUAAUAAUCAUUAUCAGCCUUAAAAACCCACAAAACACCCCUCUAUACUCGACUGCACUUAGUACAGUCCGGUUCCCCCUUCUAUAAAUCUGCUUGGAAUCGUCCACUUCCUGUUUGUCAAAGUGGCCUUCUACCUGGACAGGUUUUGUUGGAGCUCAUGCUACAAACAUUCUGGGUAACUGCACUUUAAUAUGGAUGGAUGACAUUGAAUUAGAGUCUGUUUUCAUGAGAGUGAGUUAAGAUGUGUAGCUCUGUCAUUAAAUAGGAAAUUAUUUCUCAUAAUUCACAGAGAAAAGUCUGAAAUGUUUGCUAGGUUAGCAUCCCACAUGUUCUUUGGCUCAGCUAAAGCUAACUCUCUCCAACUUCUGGAUCUCUUGAGUUGCUUGUUGUUAAAUUAUCUUGCUGUAGGUGCUGAAGCUCAGAAAGUCUGAGAUGUUUGUUCAAAAUAAGCUCAUUCUCAAGUAUUAUCUGAACUGUCUUCUUUUGUUUGAACUUUUCCUAAACUUAGGAGUUAAUGACAGAGCAGCACAUCCAGACUCAGUCUCAUUUAUGUAGAGAUUAAACUUCAGUGUCAUUCAUUGAUGUUAAAGUGCAGUUUUUCAAAUGUUUGUUGCACAUGCUCCCGACCAAAGCAGUCCAGGUGGAAGACGAUGUGAAGAGAAAGCUCCAGAGGAUGAAUAUCACACAUUUACGUUGUAAAUAAAUGUCCUUUAAUUAGACAUUGUCAUGCAAAAGUUGGAUUUCCCUUUAAUGAUGUUCAAAUCUUUGUUGAGUGUUUUGUUGAUGUUGUUUUCUAAAUAUUUUUUGACACUCUGCCCCAAAGAUUAAAACCUUUUCCGGCUCACAAGCUGCAACAAUUCA